rnacentral:rRNA from 1 species
UACGUAGGGUGCGAGCGUUGUCCGGAAUUAUUGGCGUAAAGAGCUCGUAGGCGGUUUGUCGCGUCUGCCGUGAAAGUCCGGGCUCAACUCCGGAUCUGCGGUGGGUACGGGCAGACUAGAGUGAUGUAGGGGGAGACUGGAAAUUCCUGGUGUAGCGGUGAAAUGCGCAGAUAUCAGGAGGAACACCGAUGGCGAAGGCAGGUCUCUGGGCAUUAACUGACGCUGAGGAGCGAAAGCAUGGGGAGCGAACAGG